GGCCCGUUAGCCAAGCUGGAAAAGGUACGUGACUGUCUAUCACGCAUGCAGGGGUUCGAACCCCCUACGGGUCG
rnacentral:tRNA from 1 species